rnacentral:rRNA from 1 species
ACGGGAGGCAGCAGUGAGGAAUAUUGGACAAUGGUCGGAAGACUGAUCCAGCCAUGCCGCGUGAAGGAAGAAUGUCCUAUGGAUUGUAAACUUCUUUUGUACGGGAGCAAUAAGGUGUAUGCAUACACCGAUGAGAGUACCGUACGAAUAAGCAUCGGCUAACUCCGUGCCAGCAGCCGCGGUAAUACGGAGGAUGCGAGCGUUAUCCGGAUUUAUUGGGUUUAAAGGGUGCGCAGGCGGCUUUUUAAGUCAGUGGUUAAAUCGUGACGCUCAACGUCAUCACGCCAUUGAUACUGGAGAGCUUGAUUGCGGUCGAGGUUUGCGGAAUUCGUUGUGUAGCGGUGAAAUGCAUAGAUAUGACGAAGAACACCGAUUGCGUAGGCAGCAGACCAGGCCGUAAAUGACGCUCAUGCACGAAAGUGCGGGGAUCGAACAGGAUUAGAUACCCUGGUA